rnacentral:lncRNA from 1 species
GUGGGACAAAAGGUCACUUCCAGAGCAGCUCAUCAGGGUUUAUGCUUGGUCAGAAAGGCCACCUCAAUUUCGGGCUCAAAGGAGGAAGUGAGGAAGCAGCUGAAGAAAGCAUUUUCAUGCAAUCACAACACCAGAUGUUCGGCCAGGAUGGUGGUGACAUGGCGCAGACAAGUGUUUCACAAGAGCAUACAGGUGUAAAGGGGGCCGCGAUUUGUCGUAAAGGACAAGUAUCCCAAUUGAAAUCCCAAGAAUCCCAAAUAAAAUCCUUUAGACAAGUAAAAUCCAGUGGACAGCUGAAAUCUGGAGGAUCCCAAUUAAAAUCCUUUGGACAAGUGAAAUCCAGUGAGUCCCAAUUAAAAUCCUUUGGCCAAGUGAAAGCCAGUGGGUCCCAAUUAAAAUCCUUCGGACAAGUGAAAGCCAGUGGGUCCCAAUUAAAAUCCUAUGGACAAAUGAAAUCCAGUGGGUCCCAAGUGAAAUCCUUUGGACAAAUGAAAUCCAGUGGGUCCCAAGUAAAAUCCUUUGGACAAAUGAAAGCCAGUGAGUCCCAAAUAAAAUCCUUUGGACAAAGAAAAUCCCAAGGUGGUCAACUACAAUCCUAUGGCCAAAUGAAAUCCUAUGGGCAGACGAAAUCCCUAGAAUCCCAGGCCAAAUCCUUCGGACAAGUAAAGUCCCAAAGUGGCCAAAUGAAAUCCUCCUAUGGUCAGAGAAAAUCCUAUGGUGAAGAGACUCAACUGAAGUCUUUCGACCAAGAUGCCCAACUAAAAUCCUAUGGUCAACAAAAAUCCCAAAAACAAUCCUCCUUUAGCCAAGUAAAAUCUCAAAGUGCCCAACUAAAGUCCUUUGGCCAACAAAAAUCCCUCAAAGGGUUUUCUCAACAAACUCAACAGAAAGGAUUUGCCAUGGAUGAAGAUUUGUCACAAGUGCGGAAACAAUUUGACGAUGAUGACCUCUCUGUACAACAGAAGUCUACCCAACAGAUGAAAACAGAGGAAGACUUAUCCCAAUUUGGACAACAACGACAAUUUGGACAAGAACGCUCCCAAUCCUAUAAAGGAUAUCUUGCACAAUACAGAAAG